GGAGAAAGGUUCCAUGUGAACAGCAGUUGGACAUGGGUUAGUCGAUCCUAAGAGAUAGGGAAAUUCCGUUUGAAAGCGCCCGAUCUUGGGCCGCCUAUCGAAGACGCUGGCGGGGGCCCUGGGAAGAGUUCUCUUUUCUUUUUAACGAGCUUUCACCCUGAAAUCAGCUUGCCUGGAGAUAGGGUUUAAUGCUCGGUAAAGCACCACACUUCUUGUGGUGUCCGGUGCGCUCUCGACGGCCCUUGAAAAUUCGGGGAAGACAUUGAUUUUCGUGUCCGGUCGUACUCAUAACCGCAGCAGGUCUCC
rnacentral:rRNA from 1 species